rnacentral:rRNA from 1 species
CUCGUAGGCGGUUCGUCGCGUCCGGUGUGAAAGUCCAUCGCUUAACGGUGGAUCCGCGCCGGGUACGGGCGGGCUUGAGUGCGGUAGGGGAGACUGGAAUUCCCGGUGUAACGGUGGAAUGUGUAGAUAUCGGGAAGAACACCAAUGGCGAAGGCAGGUCUCUGGGCCGUCACUGACGCUGAGGAGCGAAAGCGUGGGGGGCGAACA